rnacentral:rRNA from 1 species
GGAAAAGAAAUCAACCGAGAUUCCCCCAGUAGCGGCGAGCGAACGGGGAGGAGCCCAGAGCCUGAAUCAGUGUGUGUGUUAGUGGAAGCGUCUGGAAAGGCGCGCGAUACAGGGUGACAGCCCCGUACACAAAAAUGCACAUGCUGUGAGCUCGAUGAGUAGGGCGGGACACGUGGUAUCCUGUCUGAAUAUGGGGGGACCAUCCUCCAAGGCUAAAUACUCCUGACUGACCGAUAGUGAACCAGUACCGUGAGGGAAAGGCGAAAAGAACCCCGGCGAGGGGAGUGAAAAAGAACCUGAAACCGUGUACGUACAAGCAGUGGGAGCCUCUUUAUGGGGUGACUGCGUACCUUUUGUAUAAUGGGUCAGCGACUUAUAUUCUGUAGCAAGGUUAACCGAAUAGGGGAGCCGAAGGGAAACCGAGUCUUAACUGGGCGUUAAGUUGCAGGGUAUAGACCCGAAACCCGGUGAUCUAGCCAUGGGCAGGUUGAAGGUUGGGUAACACUAACUGGAGGACCGAACCGACUAAUGUUGAAAAAUUAGCGGAUGACUUGUGGCUGGGGGUGAAAGGCCAAUCAAACCGGGAGAUAGCUGGUUCUCCCCGAAAGCUAUUUAGGUAGCGCCUCGUGAAUUCAUCUCCGGGGGUAGAGCACUGUUUCGGCAAGGGGGUCAUCCCGACUUACCAACCCGAUGCAAACUGCGAAUACCGGAGAAUGUUAUCACGGGAGACACACGGCGGGUGCUAACGUCCGUCGUGAAGAGGGAAACAACCCAGACCGCCAGCUAAGGUCCCAAAGUCAUGGUUAAGUGGGAAACGAUGUGGGAAGGCCCAGACAGCCAGGAUGUUGGCUUAGAAGCAGCCAUCAUUUAAAGAAAGCGUAAUAGCUCACUGGUCGAGUCGGCCUGCGCGGAAGAUGUAACGGGGCUAAACCAUG